UCUGAAUAUGUGAAGCACAGAAAAGAAAUACUUAGAAGUCCAUGUCUUGUUAAAAACUCUGCAUUCUGUAUCAGUCUUUCUAUUUUGGGCAUUAGCUGACAUCGUCAUGGGCUGAAACUGACCAACU